rnacentral:rRNA from 1 species
UACGUAGGGGGCUAGCGUUGUCCGGAUUUAUUGGGCGUAAAGAGCGUGUAGGCGGCCAGGUAGGUCUGCUGUGAAAACUCGAGGCUCAACCUCGAGAUGUCGGCGGAGACCACCUGGCUAGAGUCCGGAAGAGGAAAGUGGAAUUCCUGGUGUAGCGGUGAAAUGCGCAGAUAUCAGGAAGAACACCCGUGGCGAAGGCGGCUUUCUGGGACGGUACUGACGCUGAGACGCGAAAGCGUGGGGAGCGAACAGG